ensembl:lincRNA
GUCAGGGUUAGAGGACAGACCGUUCAGAAGACCGUUCAGAAGGCAGUGUGAUUGAAGGCAUUUUAAAAAUUAUGUCAGAUCUUUCUCUUCUGCACCGUGGCAAUGUUUCCGGAUGCUUCAUUUCUAUUAAAACGAGGGGAGCAGCCUGGAAGAUGAUGGAAGCCUGUAGGAUCCAGAAGCGUCUUUGCUGGGAAGCCAGGGGGUGUCACCAAGACCUAGGAUGGCCUUACUGCUGCUCAGAGAGGCUAAGCACUUGUCUGAGGUCACACAGAGCUGCAACCAGAUGUACCAAAGAAGGACGAGAAGAAAGUGAGAACAAGAGGAAUAAAAGAAGAUGAAGACAAAGAGGCUGGAAGAAAUAAACAAGCAAAAGCAAGAGGAAUCAAAAUUCUCUAAACCAGCCUUAUUCCAUCUUUAUAAGCACCUCUUCCAGAGAAUACAG